rnacentral:lncRNA from 1 species
CUCGUGUUCAGAACACUGCAUUUUAUCAUCUUGAGAGACAGACACCCUGUCUGUCUUCCAGCUUCUAUUCUGAAAAGAUGAGCUUUACGACUUAGUCACGGGGCUGGACUUCCUAUUGUCCUAAACCCUACUCGGUCACUUACGUGAGUGCAAUAUGGAUGCAAAGUGCUACCAUACCAGAAUGGUUGUACCGUAUUGGUCUGAAUAUAAGGUGACUUUAUAAAAGACCAAAGCAGAAGAUGGUAGUGGAAACAUUCUACUUCUUGUGUAUCUAGAUUGAAACCAUCUCCUCUAUUCCACACUUCCUCUAUCGCCCUCAGCAGUGCCUAAUUUAGGCAGAAGAAGAUAUGACAAUAAAACCGCAUCUUGCUCUCAAAAGGUUGCUGAAAAUUCUUUCCUGGGAUCAAGCUGCCAGACAAUCCACCAGCAAGGCAGGUGACUGCAUCGAAGGGACAUAACUUCACCUGAAGCUGUGAGAAAUGAGACCUAAGCUUGGGAAAACUACAAAGUUUUGUACAGUUUAUGGAUGCAGCAUGAUCCUGAUUUGGAACAACACAUACAGACUGUCAACCACUUGCUGCUACAAAGUAUGUGCUCAAGUUAAUGUGCGCAAGCACAUGCUAAAUUUACUAUAUGCAUGUAUGUAGACAGAAGCCUACAAAAUUUCUUUUUUUAAUCAUUAAUUACUUUUAAAGGUCUGAUCCUUAACUUGAACUGAGUCAAAUAGCAUUUGAAAACUCUAGUGUACUUUUAAAUUAAUCAUGGACUUUGAAGAUAUUAUGCUUGAUAAUGCUCUAACACAAUUUAAAGUUAUAAUUGAUUUCGUCAGUUUGUGCUAGUGUAGAGGUCAGAGUUCUAUGUCUGCUAUAAUUAUUUGAACAACAACAGCAAAUGUAGCAUGGGGGCAGUUUUGCAGUUUGUUUCAGUGUUUUAAGUCCUCUUAUGUCUCUUUUUUGGUCUAAAAUUACGCUUUCUUAUUAAAAAAAGAAACAGAUCUGGUGCUUUAGAAGGUAAAGUGACUAAUAUUCUUUCUAAGUUUUGUACUGAAAUCUUUUUCAGGAUAUUUAAAAUUCGGAAUACUUAACUAGAUUGCUAUUUUAAGGCCUGUUCCAAAGGCGACUUAUGGUUUCAGUGAGCUACCAUCAGGCCUUAGUGACUCCUGGGAAAAUAAAUGAUCUGUGUGUUUUAAAUAAGAAUAUUAUAAUAUUUCCUGAAAUUUAUCCAAGAACCUAUUUUGAAGAGUUUACAACAGCAGACUUAAUUCAGUGUUCUAAAAGAUAAUUUUCUGUAACGGUUGUAGAUUCACUUAUAGCUAUCAAAUAUAGGAAGAUUUAAAAUGUUUUCUUUUUUAAUUUCAGUUAGUAAGAUUUAUUUCCAAAGAGGAGAUCAGCAGGACUUUUUUCUGAAAGGAUUUAAUUAAAGUUAGCAAGUAAUUUUGUGUUCUGCAGCAUGUUACAUAUUGUGAAAAGGUUAUAGAUUCACCCAGUGCAGUGCAUCAGAAGUAUAGGGGUGAUAGGUGAAGUUCUUUUUGUUGCAAGUGCUGAGAUAUAAUCAUUUAAAAGGUCGCUUGCACUCAAGAAUAGCAUUUAUUUAAUAAGCAACUUGUUUUGGGAUAUGCUGCAUUUUUAAAGGUUAAAACAGUGUCUUACUGACCAAUGUGAUCAGUGAUGAGUUUUUUUUUCUUUAAAAAAUGAUUCUGAAAGUUACUUUAGAUUUGAGUAUUUGUUAAAAUCCUGUGUGAUAUAUCAUCAUUUUGAAGGUUCAAAAUUUGAUAUAAUUAUUAGAACUUAAGAGGUUGGAGAUCUAGCUAGAAUUAAUUUGUUUCAAUUGUUAUGUGCUUUGCUACUGUAGUAAAACUAUAAUAAUUUUAAGUAUGGAAAUACUGGUUACAAUUUAUCACAGUGCACAGUGUGUUGCUGUGUAUGUCGACACUUGUUUUAGAAGGAAAAGUCAGUCAUCCGAAGUGAGGGAAAAAGAUUGAUUUUCGUGUUUUAUAAAGUGAUUUGGGAGUGACAUAGAUUAUGUAGGUAUGAAAGAGAAAAGUGGAUUAUAUUUUAAAUAGUAAUGUGAAAGACCAUAAAAUUAGAAUAGUGUUUCAGAGAACUGAGAAAGAAGAAUUUUAAAACAAUUAUUUAGUUCUUACUAUGUUUUUGCAGGGGAGUUCAUACUCAGUGACAAGUAUGCUCUGUGUUUAGAGAAGUUUUUCCUUUUUCUCUCAAAAGAGUACAAACUGGCAUCAAUUUUCUUUAAGUCUCAGCAUUUUCUACUGACAAUGCUCAAUAGUCCAUAGACAUCAAGGAGGAAAGAGCUUUUAUAACUGCUCUUUGCUGAAUAAGAUGUUAUGGUCAGUUUUCUCCUUGAUCCUUAAACUUGCUAGUAUUGUUAAUAAUUUGCUUUAAAUGUUUUUUUGUUUGUUUGUUUGUUUGGGGUUUUUUUUGUACCAUUUUCCUGGUACAAAUUGUAGAAAUUAUACUAGCUGUGAAAACAAAAGUAUUUUAGUGAGAUGGUGUUGAUCAGUUCUAUCCAUUGAACGUUACUUAUGUGAGUACGAAAAAGAAAAAAGAAAAAACGCAUGAGGAAUUAACAGAAAUGAACGGCUUACAUUUGCUUUGGGAUAAUUUUUACUCAAAUAAAGCCAUCCUCCUUAAUUUGCCUCGCUUUCCAUUUAAAAGAGGGCAAAAUCUAUUUCCUGGGCAAUUUUGCACAGC